rnacentral:tRNA from 3 species
GGGCCCGUGGUCUAGCUGGUUAUGACGUCGCCCUCACACGGCGGAGGUCGCCGGUUCGAACCCGGCCGGGCCCA